UACGUAGGGUGCAAGCGUUGUCCGGAAUUAUUGGGCGUAAAGAGCUCGUAGGCGGUCUGUUGCGUCCGCUGUGAAAACCCGGGGCUUAACCCCUGGCUUGCAGUGGAUACGGACAGACUAGAGGUAGGUAGGGGAGAAUGGAAUUCCCGGUGUAGCGGUGAAAUGCGCAGAUAUCGGGAGGAACACCGGUGGCGAAGGCGGUUCUCUGGGCCUGCACUGACGCUCAUGCACGAAAGCGUGGGGAGCAAACAGG
rnacentral:rRNA from 1 species